CCAAGUGGCCAUACCACCCUGAACAUGCCCAAUCUCAUCUGAUUCUGGAAGCUAAGCAGAAUUGGGCCUGGUUAGUACUUGGAUGGGAGACCUCCUGGGAAUACUGGGUGCUGUAGGC
rnacentral:rRNA from 1 species